GACGAACGCUGGCGGCGUGCUUAACACAUGCAAGUCGAACGAAGUGGCGAACGGGUGAGUAACGCGUAAUCAACCUGCCCUUCAGAGGGGGAUAACAGUUGGAAACGACUGCUAAUACCGCAUACUGAAGGAGGGGAUUGCGUUUGAUUAGCUAGUGGGAGGGGUAACGGCCCACCAAGGCGAUGAUCAGUAGCCGGUCUGAUAGGAUGACCGGCCAAAGUGGGACUGAGGAACGGCCCACAAUCCGACGGGAGGCAGCAGUGGGGAAUCUUCCGACAUGGACGAAAGUCUGACGGAGCAACGCCGCGGUAGUGAUGACGGCCUUCGGGUUGUAAAGCUCUGUUAAUCGGGACGCGGUACCGAAAUAGAAAGCCACGGCUAACUACGUGCCAGCAGCCGCGGUAAUUC
rnacentral:rRNA from 1 species